UACGAAGGGGGCUAGCGUUGCUCGGAAUUAUUGGGCGUAAAGGGUGCGUAGGCGGUUUGGUAAGUCUUAUGUGAAAUCUAUGGGCUCAACUCAUAGUCUGCAUGAGAAACUGCCGGGCUUGAGUAUGGGAGAGGUGAGCGGAAUUCCUGGUGUAGCGGUGAAAUGCGUAGAUAUCAGGAAGAACACCCGUGGCUAAGGCGGCUCUCUAGUACGGUACUGACGCUGAGACGCGAAAGCGUGGGGAGCGAACAGG
rnacentral:rRNA from 1 species